rnacentral:rRNA from 1 species
CCUACGGGAGGCAGCAGUGGGGAAUAUUGCACAAUGGGGGAAACCCUGAUGCAGCAACGCCGCGUGAGUGAAGAAGUCUUUCGGUAUGUAAAGCUCUAUCAACAGGGAAGAAGAACGCCGGUACCUGGCUACGAAGCCCCGGCUAACUACGUGCCAGCAGCCGCGGUACUACGUAGGGGGCAAGCGUUAUCCGGAUUUACUGGGUGUAAAGGGAGCGUAGACGGCUGUGCAAGUCUGAAGUGAAAGCCCGUGGCUCAACCGCGGAACUGCUUUGGAAACUGGAGAGCUUGAGGACGGGAGAGGCAGGCGGAAUUCCUAGUGUAGCGGUGAAAUGCGUAGAUAUUAGGAGGAACACCAGUGGCGAAGGCGGCUCACUGGACUGUAACUGACGUUGAGGCUCGAAAGCGUGGGGAGCAAACAGGAUUAGAUACCCUUGUAGUC